UACAGAGGGUGCAAGCGUUGUCCGGAAUUAUUGGGCGUAAAGAGCUCGUAGGCGGUCUGUCGCGUCGGCUGUGAAAACCCGUGGCUCAACUGCGGGCUUGCGGACGAUACGGGCAGGCUGGAGUUCGGUAGGGGAGACUGGAAUUCCUGGUGUAGCGGUGAAAUGCGCAGAUAUCAGGAGGAACACCGGUGGCGAAGGCGGGUCUCUGGGCCGAUACUGACGCUGAGGAGCGAAAGCGUGGGGAGCGAACAGG
rnacentral:rRNA from 1 species